rnacentral:misc_RNA from 1 species
UGCAUCACAUCCUCAUGUCGCCAACUCUUCUCACCAACACUGAUACUUUUCAACAACAUUGACAUCUUCGAAAUGGAUGAAACAUGGUCCUGCAUGGGGUCAGCAUAUUCAUCUGUUCUUAAAGUCAACUCAUUCCCUUCACAGUCUUCAAUUUCCUCCUCAUCUUUCUCCUCCAGACUUUCCAUCUGUUUGGAAAGAAGAGUUUGGGCAUUUACACCACUGGACCCUGGACAUAGAGGUUUCAUUUCCAAUUUUUCUCCUGCAUUUAAAGUCAAAUCUAACUCACCCUCACAAUCAAUGUCAAACUGAAACUCCUCGCUAUCUCCUGCUUUCACCUCAUAAGAAAGAUAUUCUGUCUCCCCUAACAAACUCCUCGCCUGAAUGCAUAUAAGCUCAAGUUCACUAGGCUCUUCCAUGUGGCCUCGAAACUCCCUACUCAUCAUCUCUCCAAUCUCAGCAAGACAGAGACCAAAAGCUGCUGCUUCCUUGAGGAAAACUGUGCAAACCACCAAGACCCUGAGACAUGCUUCUCGAAUCAUGGGCAACUCCCUUCGAAGCAUAUCAGAAUCUUUUAAGGGGUCAAGACAACUAAUAUACUCAAGCUCAUCCUCAGAAAAAGGAAUGGAUGCUUGUGGCCAAUGGAUCCACUCGUAGUAAGGAUCCUCCAAGCUUUCUGGUAGGCAAAGGCCAUGGUCAAUUGGAACAAGCUCCACCUGACCAAACCUCCCAAUCCCAUCAAGCUUCCUGACCAGAAGGUUCCCAGCAUGUCUGUCUGUGUUCAAUAUCCGUAUAUCUAAUAUCCCUAUCCUAUGCACAGCAGCAACAGGAAAACUUGAAGUCCCAUAAUCACUGGCAUCAAAAUCAUGAGGUAUAAACUGCUGCAAUGAUGCAAUUUUGCUAACCUCCGUUCUCUGUUGCUGCUUAUUUCCCUUCACCCCACAAUUAACAUUGAAUAUUGAGUGGCUGACCUUCACAAGGGCAGUUGAGGGCACAUUAGCAAAGUGAUUAUAGUCGAGAAGGUAAGCUGCUACUUCUCUGAAGCCUGUCUCCCCAACCCUCACUGAACGUUUCAAGCCUGGCUGCCCUAGAGCUUGGCCAACAAAGCCUUUUGGAUUAUUAGGGGCAUAUGGUUCCUCAUCUGUGGGCUUUACAAUAGCCACAUUUUCACCAUGGCAAUUUUUGAAAUAGUAUGCCCCUCCAAGCCCGCUACAAAUAGGACUAGGAUCAACACCAAUCUUCAUUGCUUUUACAAUUUCCUUCACCAAUUCUUUUACUUGGGCAAAAUGAUCUGAAAAUCCUAAUAUCUCAAUUGGACCACUCUGGUCGCUCUGCUGAAGAUCCUUCACAGUAGGUGAAAGACAUGGGGUAGAUGAGCUUCUAUGCAUGGAGUUCUUGGUGAGAAGAAGAGGAGAAUCAUUCCUAACAGCACUCAGAUCAUUUUUUAACACUGUAUCCCCAAAAAUCAAUGACCUUUCCUCAGUUGGCACAUUAAGGGCAAGCUGUAAUUUCCUCUUUACAGUAUGGGCAUUGUCAAUCCUGUCUAAUUCCAUACCCAAAACAAAGCCAGUUUCAGUCUGAACAAAUACACGCCUCCUUCCAGAAGAUUUUCUUUCCAAUCUCUCUUAUCCCCACAAUAUUCCCCACUAAGGGCUUCUCUAAAAGUUGCACCUGCCAUAUCUGUGUGUACAGAGUGCUCCAGAUCAGGGAACGUGAAGAGAAGAAAUUGAAGAUCUUGAAGCCUGCAGCACAGAUGGCGAUAGCAGAGAACCUUUCUCUCAUGCAGACACCAAACUCAAAUGCCAGCAAUGAACGUGGGAAUCUGAAGAUAACCAUAAUUGAGAAAAAGAAAUUCGAAUUGCUUCUUUAAUUAUCACAUUGGAUGGCUUGCAGCAAAAAAGGAGAGACUCAGGGAAACUGCUACAUUGAAG